GGGCAGCACCCCCUGUUUGCUGCCUUUCCAGGGAGAGCAGCACGAGAAAGAAAGAGGGAGGCAAGCGAAAUUCCUGAAUGGAUAGACAGAUGCUACGUCAUCGGAGCCGCAUCCUCCACUCCACAAGAGGCUAGGAGCCGGAGAAAGAGGCAGGCCAGCGGCAGGGGCCACCGAGCCAGCGCGCCUCCUCCCAGAAGCCGGAGCGGAGCAUCGGAGAAGAGGCAGCCUCGUUUGUUUCUGGUGUCAUCGUAGGUGUCCACCUUUGGCUUUGGGGGAAGACCUGGAUAGUCGUUGAUAAUGGGGAUGGAACACGGUGACUUAAGAAUGAAGGCUACCCGUUUUCACCUGGGGUGAAUGGGUGUUCCACCACUCUCCUGCCCUCUUUCCGCCGCAAGAGCACCAGAACCGUAUCCAGCACCACGGACAGCUCCCAGGCGAUGAAUGAGGUGGCUGUGCUGACCCCCUUUGCAGGGGUUAGGAGGGGAAUCCUGUCUGCACGGUUAUAUAUCAAAGACAGAAUUUUAAUCUUUGGGAGUUGUUUGCAGGCAGUUGUUAAGUCUCAGGGAGAGGAAGAGGCUGAUGGCAGCUGUCAUUCCAUCUCCAGGAAAUAGGGUUUGUCCACUUCGGAGAGUCUGAAUGAGAGGGCUCCAGCAGCAAGAGGUUUGAGGGUUAAAUUUCUGGAAGAAUUUAAGCUAAGGUCAUAUAAGAUUCAGGCUCCCCCAGUGGCUCAGAGCUAAAGAACCCACCUGCCAAUGCAGGAGACACUGGAGACUCU